rnacentral:rRNA from 1 species
GAACCUGCGGAAGGAUCAUUGUCGAGACCUGUUCUGAUUGAACGAUGAAACCGUGAUUCUGGUCGAGAGACGUGCGGUGCUUAGGCAGUUGCGCGGUCUCUUCGCUUCUCCCGCGUGCCGUUCUUGGCAUGCUGGGAUUACCCAACAACCGCAACGGCACGGGAAGUGCCAAGGAAGCGAAAGGUGGAAGUCUACCAGUGUGCGGAAGGGUGUGAUGCAGCAUCCCCGUGGUGCAUGGUAGGACUUUCUCGAAAUCGAGUUUGGAAAGACUCUCGGCAACGGAUAUCUAGGCCCUUGCAUCGAUGAAGAACGUAGCGAAAUGCGAUACUUGGUGUGAAUUGCAGAAUCCCGUGAACCAUCGAGUCUUUGAACGCAAGUUGCGCCCGAGGUCUCUGGGCCGAGGGCAUGCCUGCCUGGGCGUCAUGUACGCUGUCGCUUCAAGACACCCCUCCAGACAUCGAAGCAUGUAAAUCACGCGGAUGUGUCUUGCGGUAUUGUCUUGGAUGCGGAGACUGGCCUUCUGUGCGCAGGUGCGGUGGGCUAAACUUCGUGGCCUGAUUUGUGUUGAGGCACGACGGGUGGGUGAUGUGCCUGUUGCAUCCUGAUGCCCCUCGGUCGAGUUGCGUGUCGUGUCUCGUUCCAAUGUCCCAAGGGCCGAAGCCGCCUGAGCGUCUCUCGCUUCGAGCGAAGUGCUAGUCGCCGGCUAUUUGAAUGCGACCCCAGGUCAGGCCGGAUCACCCGCUGAGUUUAAGCAUAU